GGUUCAUCGAGAUAAACAGCUGGUUACGCUAACUCUCCAGUCAGGUGCCAUAAAACUUUUGCAGAAGAAGAGGGCACAAUGAGAUGACGUCAUUAAAAGAGCUCCAGUCAAAGCUCAAAUGGUUUGGUUUGCAGCAGAGAGAAGAGCAGGUGAACUAACCUGAGCCCUGCCCUGCUGGUCCAGGAUCAGAUACCGAUCAUAUCCCAGCAGACAGAACGACGUUCUCCUUCAGAAAUCUGAACUGACUCAUAAUGAAAACAAACAGGAUUAGCUCUCCACACAGGCUGUGGUUUUCACUCGUUUUAGGACAAAUUAGAUUUGAUGAGUCAGCAGCAGAUUAAACGACAUGAUGCAAAUGGAGGCCCGGGCCACACAGUAUUUUCACUAUGAUUUAAUAAAAGACAGAAUUUAACUGUUUUACCGCGGCUCUGUCAAUCCCAAAUCUGAAAAUCCUACUCCAAAGCUACA